rnacentral:lncRNA from 1 species
AUAAAAUCACAAACCCACACAAAUUUUCCUAGCCCCAAAUCUGUCAUACACCAAGUGAUUACAAAAUGUAGAAUCCAAAUCCAAGUACUCAUGCCACACAUAAUUAAUGUCAUGCACUGUGGAGGAUGCAUAAUGGAAUCAACAAUCAGCAAAGUAAGUCCUUACUGAGAUCUUACCAUGAGAACUUGCCCUUAGUUUCCCAUUAUGUAACAUGAUGGUUCUCAAACUUGAGCAUGGAUCAUGAUCACCCAGAGGGUGAUUGUUACAUCACAGAUUACCAGGCCCACUUCCAGAACUUCUGGCUCAAUACAUCUGAAGUGGGACCCAAGAAUUUGCAUUUCUAACGUCCCAGGUGAUUCUGAUGCUGCUGCUUCAGGUACCACACUUAGGAGAACCACUGAUGUCAAGUGCAGUCUCUGCCCCAAGGAGCUCUUCGUCUAAUUGAGGAAAUAAGGAAAAACUCACAAGACAUUCUAGCAAAUAGCAAAGCCCCCUCUCUCAUUAUGGGUUGAUGGGUGGGACCCAGAUGAUGGCUGCAGGAGGGGUUCAGGGGAGAGAGUGAGAAUAGUGAAGGCUGGAGUGGCCAUACCUCUGAUAAGAUUGGACAGGAUCUUGGAGACUGGGCAGAUUUUGUCCAGGAUGCAGCAGGGUGAAUCCUGACACUGUUAGGAUACUGACUGGCUGGUGUCCAUUGUGAUUGGUCAGAGCCAUGCCCAUUAGGUAGCUUAGUUUGCUCCUUGAUGGACAGAUGUGGCAAGGGAGUCCAGGUAAAGGAACAAACACAGAGGAGGGAAUGAGGGUUCUGGUUGGCAGGAAAACAAGCCAGAUAGGGCAGAAGGCGGCACCAGGGAGAGGUGAAAGCAGCUGAGAGGGAUGUUAGGAGGUGAUGUGGUUGGGACUAGGGUCCAUAAAAACAGUCUGGAGAGAGCAGUGCAGGUAGCAGGCAUGCACAUUCCAGGCACAAGGGAUGAACUCCUAGAGUAGGGUCCUGGCAGUAAGACCAGAGAAGUAGAGACAGACAAAAACAAUAUUUAAAGAGCAGAAAUCAACAGAGCUUACUGCAUGGUUGGAAAUGGGUUAAAAUGAGGAGAUUUUUGGCCAGGCGCGGUGCUCACGCCUGUAAUCCCAGCACUUUGGGAGGCUGAGGCAGGCAGAUCAUGAGGUCAGAAGAUCGAGACCAUCCUGGCUAACAUGGUGAAACCCUGUCUCCACUAAACAUAAAAAAAAAAUUAGCUGGGCAUGGUAGCGGGCACCUGUAGUCCCAGCUACUCGGGAGGCUGAGGCAGGAGAAUGGCGUGAACCCGGAAGGCGGAGGUUGCAGUGAGCUGAGAUCGCGCCACUGCACUCCAGCCUGGGUGACAGAGAGAGACUCCGUCUCAAAAUAAAUAAAUAAAUACAAAUGAGGGGAUUUUUAAAGAUAAGGCUGAAUGACUUCAAAAUGGUAGUGCCUUUGGAGAAAAAAAUAACGACACUGGGAGAAAGAAGAGGUUUGUGAGGCAUGAGGAUGGACGCACGUGGUUUGAGAUCGUGUGUGUUUGGGUGCUGACCACCAAGUGUGAUCAUCUGUUGGAUCUUCUGAGAUGUGCUGUCAAGCUCAGAGAAAGGACGGGAUUCAAGGAUAUAGGAAGUUGUCAGUCUAGAGGUGUGAGCUGAAGCCAAGGAGGUAUAAGGGAACCAAGGGAGGGACAAUCAGGAGAAAACUUGACUGAAUGUUGACAAAUACCCAAAGUUAGGCAAGAGAAAUACCAGGCAAAACCUCUUCUGAUGAGCUCAACUACAUGUAUGAACUGCCUGGUGCGUGCCAGACCAGGAGAGUGAUGCAGCAAAGAAGCUGAUGUGGUCCCAUCCCUGAAGGUACAGUUGCAAGGCAGGUGGAUAGCAUUCGUAAUGUGAAAGAUCUUAGAUCACAAAAGUGGGCCUCCUAAUUAGUGUGUGUGUGGUGAUGGAGAUCAGGGGAGGUAUUCAUGGAUGGCUUCCUGGAGGACGAGAUGUCUACACUGAGAAUUGAAAGAUGAGCAGAAAAAAGCUUAAAAAAUAAAACCAGGAGAAUGUGGUAUCAGCAGCCAAGAGAGAGUGGAGCUUUAUAAAUCGGCAGGUCUGUGUGCUGCUGAGCCUAAAUGCACCCCUAUACAUCUUCUCCAUGCAUCUGAGAAAGCAUUGGGCAAUGAAGGAGUCAAUGGUAACUUAUGGCAAAAAUCAUCAUUAAGGAUAAAAGUGGCCAUUACAUAAUGAUGAAGGGAACAGACCUUCCAGCAAGAUAUAACAAUCCUGAACUGUAUGAUCAUAAUGAUGUAGUCUUGACUCAUACAAAGCAACAAUUGAGAGAAUUACAGAAAGAAAAACAUCAAAAUCCACUAUCAGAGCAAAAGAUUUUAACAUGGUUAUUGAAGAAAUACAUAGAACACAUGAACAAAAAAUCAGCAAGUACACAGAAGAUUUGGACAUCCUGUGAACAAGCUAGAUAUGUAUAAACCAUGUCAACAAUCAGAGAAUAUAUUUUCAGAUAUGCAUAAAACAUACAUAUCAUGUGUCACAUCAUGUACCAGGCUGCAAGGCAAGUCUCUCAAGGAAUUUACAGUCUAGUAGAGAGAUAAGUGACCCGUGGUCCACUUGACUUUGUGAUCUGUUUCCUGAUGAAAUUUCAGGAACAAGAAACUAAAAUCAAUGAAAUUGAUUCACUCACUGGUGUGGUGUCCUCGAAUGGCCUCCCUGGCCAAGCACUGGCCAGCCCUGCCUCCUUUUCUGGGCCACCUCCAGCCAGGGCUGGGUAGCUAUCCCAGGGCUGGGUUCUGAACAGAGGCUGCCUCUGGGGAGGGGGGGACUCCAAAUGCUGGGCCCACGGAAUAAAAUAGCCUGAAGGAACAAAACAGCCACUGACCCGAUGGGAAAGAAUAAAAGCCUCCUCUCCUCGACUUGGGCAGAAGGACGGUGAAAGAACAUGCAAGCACAGUUGUGGAUAUUGUGAUUGCUGAUUUAAUUUUUUUUUUCUUUUUUUAAUGGGGCCUGAAUUGUUUCCCUUCCCUGACCUGACCUGUACAAUAAGAGUUUGCCGACCACAGGUCUAAAGAGAAAAAGUUCUCAAACUUUUAAAAUCACUUUCAUGUGGUGCUUCUAGUAACGUCUUGCAGGUGGAACACAGAAGGGAGGCAUCUGGGCUGGGGCCUUCCCCAGCUGCAGAGCUGUUUAUUUUUCUUCCCCCGAUGAAGUUGACCUUGGCUUCAUCACUUUCCAUUCUGCACAGUUAUUUAACUACUGCUCUUGUUACCAUCAACAUUUUCUCCUCUUAGACAAGAUGCUCAAAAUAAAUGAGUUUUGG